CCUACGGGAGGCAGCAGUGGGGAAUAUUUGACAAUGGGGGGAACUCUGAUCCAGCGACGCCGCGUGAGUGAAGAAGUAUUUCGGUAUGUAAAGCUCUAUCAGCAGGGAAGAAAGAAAUGACGGUACCUGACUAAGAAGCCCCGGCUAACUACGUGCCAGCAGCCGCGGUAAUACGUAGGGGGCAAGCGUUAAACGGAUUUACUGGGUGUAAAGGGAGGGUAGACGGCGAUGAAAGUUAGAAGUGAAAUACCUAGAGCUUAACUCAGGUGCUGCUUCUAAAACUGUUAUACUUGAGUGCAGUAGCGGAAAGUGGAAGUCCUGGUGUAGCGGUGGAAUGCGUAGAUAUUAGGCGGAACAUCAGUGGCGAAGGCGACUUUCUGGACUGUAACUGACGCUGAGGCACGAAAGUGUGGGGAGCAAACAGGAUUAGAUACCCCAGUAGUC
rnacentral:rRNA from 1 species